CCGCGAUUGAGAGAGCGUCGAUGCGAACCCAUCGGAGGCUCUAGGGAACUAUCUUAUAAGUUAGGGUUUCUGAAAUUACUCUUGCUGCUUGCCACUUUUGUUUUUUUGUGGUGGCCCAUGCCGAGAAUGUAACGAACGAUCCAGGGAUGCCUUUCGAGAGCACAAUGUAUCUCGAUCGAGAAUGAAAGCAUGUGGUCAACAAGGGCCCGCUCGACCUCCACCUUAUCUUUUGCCACAUUCGUCUGAGAAUGUGGUUGGUUGGAAUUCGGGGAUUUUCCUUUUAGGGCUUUUACGGUGAAGCCACUGGGACAGGACAAGGAAAUUGUGAAGCUAAUGACGAGACACAAUCAGUGCCGGAUGUUACAUGGGGUCUGUUAGGGCUGAUGAUUCCGGCUCCGUCAUGAUGCGAGAAAAAUCAUGAGUCAACUGGCGUGGGUUAUCCACUUUCGCAACGGCUUUCCAGGUGCUACCGCAAUGUAUUGUUGGAGCUUCCCAGAGCUGAUUUCUGAAGCUGCUACAAGUCUGAGUCACUGAUUCGAGGGCUUUCAUUGCCAGAGAUUGGGGCUGCACAUGGAUUCCACACACCCGUUAUUCGUCAAAAUGGCUGGAUGACUGUGCGGUCACUAGCUAAAUCCGAAUGUUAUCGAGAUAUCUUCGAGGACUUGAUGCUGAACAUGGGGGAAGUGAUACCCCAAGGGAUCGAACAAUAGCUCCUCCUCCUCAGCAAAUACCUUCCCACAUCGUUAUCAGUUGACGAAGUCUUCAUAGAAAGCCAGAUUUGUCUUAUGUUAAUGGGCUUACCAACGUCUCACGUAGUUACUAAUUUGUGCUCUUCAGGAAGUUUAGCGAGAUACGAUUGAAAGAAUUAGGAUUCUCAACCUGGGGGAAGUGACCACACUUUUCCAACACCACUAGGUCUGUUGAACUGCCCAAGUGCCUGUUCACAUUCAACAGCGAUCGACAUCAUUAUCCCAGAUAGUCUAAAGCUGUCACCUGUACUUUUGGACUCAACCAAACCAAGCAAAAUACGUAUCAUUCGAAUCCGCACUGUUGAUGAACCCACGCUAAAA